rnacentral:rRNA from 1 species
CUGGUUGAUGAUCCUGCCGGACCCGACUGCUAUUUGGGUGAGGAUAAGCCAUGCGAGUUGUAUGGGAUACCUAAAUUUCCCAUGGCAAACUGCUCAGUAACACAUGAUCAACUUGCCCUAUAGAGAAAAAUAAUCUCGGGAAACUGAGAAUAAUGUUUCAUAGUUGAAAAGGCUUGGAAAAGUUUUUCAAUAAAAUGGAUAAUGAAAAUGGUCUUUAUCUGCUAUAGGAUAGGAUCGUGUUCGAUUAUGGUUGUUGGUGAGGUAAUGGCUCACCAAGCCGAUAAUCGAUAGGGGCCGUGAGAGCGGAAGCCCCGAGAUGGGUACUGAGACAGCGACCCAGGCCUUACGAGGCGCAGCAGGCGCGAAACCUCCACAAUACACGAAAGUGUGAUGGGGUUACCCAAAGUGUUCUAUUAAGAACUGUGGUAGGUGAGUAAUGUUCCCUACUAGAAAGGAGAGGGCAAGGCUGGUGCCAGCCGCCGCGGCAAAACCAGCUCUUCAAGUGGUCGGGAUAAUUAUUGGGCUUAAAGUGUCCGUAGCCGGUUUAGUAAGUUCCUGGUAAAAUCGGGUAGCUUAACUAUCUGCAUGCUAGGAAUACUGCUAUACUAGAGGGCGGGAGAGGUCUGAGGUACUACAGGGGUAGGGGUGAAAUCUUAUAAUCCUUGUAGGACCACCAGUGGCGAAGGCGUCAGACUGGAACGCGCCUGACGGUGAGGGACGAAAGCCAGGGGAGCGAACCGGAUUAGAUACCCGGGUAGUCCUGGCCGUAAACGAUGCAUACUAGGUGAUGGCACGGCCAUGAGCCAUGUCAGUGCCGUAGGGAAACCGUUAAGUGUGCCGCCUGGGAAGUACGGUCGCAAGGCUAAAACUUAAA